rnacentral:misc_RNA from 1 species
GAAUCUAGUCGUCGCGGGAAAAGAAACGAAGUUGUCAGUGACUUGUCUAGCACGGAUUCGGGCAGAAAAGACUGUCCGGACUUUCCAAUUUUGAACGAAACUCUACUGGAAUCCAUUCCUCUACCCACGAGCGAUCCCGAGGAAAUCCAACACAUGCUUUUCUGUUACAUAGACAGCCUUUAUAAGAGUUCAGAUUUCCAAAGUAGAAUGAAAGACCCGGUGAAGGAACUUUUCGAGAAUAUCCAGCGAAAAUCUGACGUGUCGAACAAUAUUCCGGAUCCCUCGAAGCCUGAGAAAAGAGUCUGCGUUAUUUUCCAUGGAGCUCCUUUCACCG